rnacentral:tRNA from 1 species
GGCUCAGUUGGUAGAACGUGGCGCUUGCAACGCCAGGGUUGUGGGUUCGAUUCCCAC